rnacentral:rRNA from 1 species
UAAUACGUAGGGGGCAAGCGUUGUCCGGAAUUAUUGGGCGUAAAGCGCGCGCAGGCGGUCUCUUAAGUCUGAUGUGAAAGCCCACGGCUCAACCGUGGAGGGUCAUUGGAAACUGGGGGACUUGAGUAUAGGAGAGGAAAGUGGAAUUCCACGUGUAGCGGUGAAAUGCGUAGAUAUGUGGAGGAACACCAGUGGCGAAGGCGACUUUCUGGCCUACAACUGACGCUGAGGCGCGAAAGCGUGGGGAGCAAACAGGAUUAGAUACCCUGGUAGUCCACGCCGUAAACGAUGAGUGCUAGGUGUUAGGGGUUUCGAUACCCUUAGUGCCGCAGUUAACACAUUAAGCACUCCGCCUGGGGAGUACGGUCGCAAGACUG